GCAGGAUAUUGUCCGGGUCGGACUCGUUCACAUGGAAACCGACGUCGGCCUCAUCACCAAAAGCUCUGUGACCUCCUCAUCUUUCCAAGUUGACGUCUUCAUCUUCUACUUGUUCAGCUCCUCUUCUUCAUCCUGAGGGGCUGCAUUUGAAGACCGAGCUCCAACGAGUGGAUCCGUCCCCGUCCAACCUGUCCCAGGAUUCAUUGCACUUUAGUGACUCACCAUGUUUCAAAGAGGUAAUGGUGCCGGCAAGCAGCGAGACGUCCAAUGCUUAAGUAUCAGCUUCAACUCAACCCAACAGUACACAUGUUAAACAAGGUUGAUAAAUGAAUACUUGUCUCCAGUGAUGAUGCUGGUGAAGCACUCGUAUCUGCCCUGGUCCUGAAGCUGCAGCCCCGUCAGCCUGAUCGAGGCGUUUCCUCUGGAGAUCUGCUCUGUGAACAGCGAUGUCCGGCCUC